AGUAAUACAUCGGAACGUGCCCAGUUGUGGGGGAUAGCCCGGCGAAAGCCGGAUUAAUACCGCAUACGACCUGUGGGUGAAAGCGGGGGAUCGCAAGACCUCGCGCAGUUGGAGCGGCCGAUGUCAGAUUAGCUAGUUGGUAGGGUAAAAGCCUACCAAGGCGACGAUCUGUAGCUGGUCUGAGAGGACGACCAGCCACACUGGGACUGAGACACGGCCCAG
rnacentral:rRNA from 1 species